rnacentral:rRNA from 2 species
AGACCCGCAUGGUCCCGAGUUUGAAAAGAUGGCUUCGGCUAUCACUUUUGGAUGGUCCCGCGGCGUAUUAGCUAGAUGGUGGGGUAACGGCUCACCAUGGCAAUGAUACGUAGCCGACCUGAGAGGGUAAUCGGCCACAUUGGGGACUGAGACACGGCCCAAACUCCUACGGGAGGCAGCAGUAGGGAAUCUUCCACAAUGGACGAAAGUCUGAUGGAGCAACGCCGCGUGAGUGAAGAAGGGUUUCGGCUCGUAAAACUCUGUUGUUAAAGAAGAACAUAUCUGAGAGUAACUGUUCAGGUAUUGACGGUAUUUAACCAGAAAGCCACGGCUAACUACGUGCCAGCAGCCGCGGUAAUACGUAGGUGGCAAGCGUUGUCCGGAUUUAUUGGGCGUAAAGCGAGCGCAGGCGGUUUUUUAAGUCUGAUGUGAAAGCCUUCGGCUCAACCGAAGAAGUGCAUCGGAAACUGGGAAACUUGAGUGCAGAAGAGGACAGUGGAACUCCAUGUGUAGCGGUGAAAUGCGUAGAUAUAUGGAAGAACACCAGUGGCGAAGGCGGCUGUCUGGUCUGUAACUGACGCUGAGGCUCGAAAGUAUGGGUAGCGGAACAGGAUUAGAUACCCUGGUAGUC